rnacentral:tRNA from 1 species
GUCUGGGUAGCUCAGUGGUUGAGCAUCUGCCUUUGGCGCAGAUUGUGAUCCAGGACU